rnacentral:rRNA from 1 species
GUUUGAUCCUGGCUCANGAUGGACGCUGGCGGCGUGCUUAACACAUGCAAGUCGAACGGACGGUAGUAAUACUGUUAGUGGCGGACGGGUGAGGAACACGUAGCUGACCUGCCUUAUAGUUUGGGAUAACGUGUCGAAAGAUACGCUAAUACCGGAUAAGCUGGCGCAUAAUAGCGAUGCGUCAGGAAAGGGGAAACCCGCUAAAAGAGGGGGCUGCGACCUAUCAGGUAGUUGGUGGGGUAAGAGCCUACCAAGCCGACGACGGGUAAGGGGUCUGAGAGGAUGACCCCUCACACUGGGACUGAGACACGGCCCAGACUCCUACGGGAGGCAGCAGUGAGGAAUAUUGCACAAUGGGGGAAACCCUGAUGCAGCAACGCCGCGUGGGUGAUGAAGGUCUUCGGAUCGUAAAGCCCUUUUUGGCAUGACNAGAGAAGGACGGUAGUGCCAGAAUAACCUCGGCUACUACGUGCCAGCACCGCGGUAAAACGUAGGAGCGAGCGUUAUCCGGAGUUACUGGGCGUAAAGGGUGCGUAGCGGCACGACAAGUGAGCGUGAAAGCCCUUGGCUAACUAAGGAGGACAUCUCAGACUGUCGAGCUAGAGUGAAACAGAGGAACGUGGAAUUCGGGGUGUAGCGGUGAAAUGUGUAAGAUCCCGAGGAACACCAGUGGUGCAAACGACGUUCUGGGUUUAAACUGACGCUGAGGCACGAAAGCUUGGGGAGCGAACGGGAUUAGAGACCCCGGUAGUCCAAGCCGUAAACGAUGUCAACUGGGUGUUUGGGAAGGAAACCGGACUGGGUGCCGAAGCUAACGCGGUAAGUUGACCGCCUGGGGAGUACGGUCGCAAGGCUAAAACUCAAAGGAAUUGACGGGGGGCCCGCACAAGCACGGAGCGUGUGGUUUAAUUCGAGGCUACACGAAGAACUUACCUAGCUUGACAUGUAUGUGGUAGAAACCAAAAGGGAUCACUUCGGGAGCUNNCANGGCUCAUGGUGCCUCACUCUGCNUAAAUUCCGUANCCCAACACCACCUCGNUAUCAGCUACCNUCGGGAAUGAGANG